GGGAUUCCAAACACAACUUUCUUUUGAGUGAUAUGAUUCCAAAAAAAAAUUUGAUCUCAGUACAUCUUGCACUUGUGUUCAUGCAAUUGUUUCAUGACCAAUAAGAAUCCACUAUGUUAAAGGACCAUUCCUCCUUGUUCUUGGACUAAGAUCUUGUGCUUUCAGAAAAAGGAAAGCAAGAAAAACAAAAGAUUUUGAUCGAGUUCACUGACCAGAAAUAGUUUUGCAUAGCUUAGUACUUCCAGACAAUUUCCGAUCAUGGGGUAGGCCCAUCUCUGGCGGUUAGAAUGCAACUUUUUCAGGAAUACUCCUCUAUGUAACAAAACCAUAAGCAAUUUUACAUACUGAAAGACAUGGAACUCAAUGAUAACUUGAAAAAAAUUAAGCCAAAACACAAGCAAAUAAGAGUCUACUAAUAAUACCCAUGUUCAACUUGCAGUUGCGCACAGAUGAAUAAACAAAGCAUAAAUCACCCUGCUUAGUGCUGCCAAUCUAUUCCACUAGAAAUAUGAGUAAAAAAAGACGUUUAUUCUAAGCUUGUCAAGGGUGAAUUCUUCCCACCAAUAGAGCACUUCAAACCCAUACCAGUGACUUGCUUCAAAGGCUGCAAUCCUAAACAAUGUCUAACAAGUGGUGACGAGACCCUCAACCUAUCAAGCAGCUUACAUCCACCUGAAUCUGAACCAGAAAAAAAAAGGUAUAUAUCAUGUACUUUGGUAUGGUUUUCAAAGCUUAAUAGAAUUGAGUGCCUGAAUCUCGGAAAGAACACAGAAAAAAAAUGAGCAAGAUUAAUAAUAAACAAUAUGCAAAUGCAUGCGAUACGUAGUAAAUGAACCACCAAAAUACCAUAUACAAAUUCCAGAGCAUCUUAUUCGAUCAGCAGCUGAUACUGACAUACUGUUCAGUAGUAAGGACCUCUAACUUGCGGUAAUACUCCUCCGAAGAGAUACUGGACCGAGGCACUCACCAAUGGUAAGUAUUCAUUCCUGUUCUUUAAUUUGAAGAAGUGUCAUCCGCAGGCACACACGUGUAAGAAUCCAUACAACUAAUGUUUUAGUGGAAAUUAGUUUCAAUAAUCUUUGUGUGGAACGAAGGACUUCUAAAUAUAAUCUCACAAAAUCCUCUAUAUAUCAUGGACAUGGAUCUGACGAAACUUCCAUGGGAUGGUAGAAACACUGUAUGCACUCUCAACUAUAUUUUGUCAGUGCAUUAAUACUUGGGUAAAUUGCUGUAUAUUUAAGAACAUGGAAGAUAGCUAUAAAUCAUUUAUAUCUAUAUAGUUCAUCAGGAAUUCGACAUAUUAAAUGAAACAUUAAUUUGUUCACCAAUCAGUUUUAAGUCCGCGGAUUUUAGCCAAUUGAAAAAAAAAAAUCUAGUAAUCCAAAUAUACUGCAGAGAAAAGGAUGUUGCUUCUUUGUGAAUAGUAUCUGAGUUAACUCCCAAAGUAAUUAAUAGCACAUGAUCAACUGAUUAGUGGCAUUUAUGGGCGAAAAACGAAAAGUAACAGAACUAGUAUUCAAAGUUAAAGACAAUCUCUGCUUCUGAACAAAGCAAAUAUACUAAAGCAAAAUGAAAUUGCUAAGUAUUACCUCUGAUAUGGUUCAUUUGGACUAAUGUAGUAGCGUAUCUGGCUCAAUCCAAAUUGGAGGUAGACAAACCAUUGGGAUUUCCAUGUUGGUUUGAGAAUGAUUAAUAGAAAGCAAAUCAGGAAAAACAAAGAACUUUGAAUGAAAAAAAUAAAGACUUGUAUUGAUCAAAGUCUGACAAAUCGAACUCUAAUUGACUUAAAUUCU
rnacentral:lncRNA from 1 species